CUCCGUACAUUAAAUAAUAUAGCAUAGCUGAUGAUGGGAAUAUCGUAUACCUACGUUAGAAAAAUCUCGCGACACACAUUUUCUACCAUUCGAACGAAUCCGAUAUAAAUUAGGCACCCUGGUAGGAGGCAAAAAGUUUUAAUUUCGACGAAACAUGCAGUAUUCUGCAAAAUACUUUGCUAAUUUUUAAUUCUUAGUUUUUGUUUGAUAAGUACAUAGUCUAUAUAUUUGUACUCUACACUGUCUGGGAGUUAGGAUAUUCUGAUGGACUUGUCACGGUAGAAUUUCGAGCGAGAAAUAAAAACUAUUCCGCGUACGGGCGAUUAAAAUACACCGCUAUCAAUAGCCGAAGAGGUUUUCUCGAAAAACAAAAACAAAACCCGUGCAUUAUUUUAAACGACAAAAAUAUAAAGAUUUUAUACUGUUGUUAACUGUUAAAGGAGCGCCUGAGUACAUUUUUAUAAGGGGGAUAAGAGAAUAAGAAAAAGUUGCAGAUCGUUGUUGUCUGGUCAGUAUAAAUCUCUCGGAAGUCUGUAUAGAUAUAUGGGUAUAGGAGGGGAGAAAAAAAUUUC